rnacentral:rRNA from 1 species
GAUGAACGCUGGCGGCGUGCCUAAUACAUGCAAGUCGAGCGAACAGACGAGUAGCUUGCUCCUUUGACGUUAGCGGCGGACGGGUGAGUAACACGUAGGUAACCUACCUAUAAGACUUGGAUAACUUCGGGAAACCGGAGCUAAUACCGGAUAAUAUUUCGAACCGCAUGGUUCGAUAGUGAAAGAUGGCUUUGCUAUCACUUAUAGAUGGACCUGCGCCGUAUUAGCUAGUUGGUAAGGUAACGGCUUACCAAGGCAACGAUACGUAGCCGACCUGAGAGGGUGAUCGGCCACACUGGAACUGAGAAAAGGUCCAGACUCCUACGGGAGGCAGCAGUAGGGAAUAUUCCGCAAUGGGCGAAAGCCUGACGGAGCAACGCCGCGUGAGUGAUGAAGGUCUUCGGAUCGUAAAAAUCUGUUAUUAGGGAAGAACAAACGUGUAAGUAACUGUGCACGGCUUGACGGUACCUAAUCAGAAAGCCACGGCUAACUACGUG